UGCCCUAAAGGUUAAGUAUUACCUUUAGGGCAACCAUGUAGCAUGUAGCA
rnacentral:sRNA from 12 species